rnacentral:lncRNA from 10 species
AAGGAUGUACUAGAAGAAGAAAGCUGGCUGUAGAGACCAGGACGGAGGCUUUCACAGCAGCUCAAGUGUUGGGAAGAAUGAGCGGGAGGAAAUGUGCAGGAGGGCUUAGAUGGUCAUUCAUUCCAUGUUGGAGAACAGAGGGCAGGGAGUGGGCGCUGAAGACGCAACAUUUGGGGACUGCAUGACGAGGAGGUUGGUGGUAUCCCUCUAAAGGACAGGGAAGGCAGAGGGAAGUAGGGGGAAGUGUGCAUGCUGAUCUGCGAGUGAAGUCCAGGACGCAGUUAGACUAGAUACUUGGGAGUCACUGUGUGUAGGGCAGAGCUAAAGCCACGAGAUAAGGCAAGAUGGACAAAGACCACCGCAUGGAGGAAGAAGAGAGGAAGGCCGGGAGAAGACUGUUCGUGGCCCCCAGGACCCAUUCUCCCACCUUCAUGUUAGUGAUAAGUCUCCCUAGUUUGAAAUAGGCACAUGGACACCCGACUUGAGCUUCCCUUGCACCUUUGUGUGGUCAUGUGACCAAGUUCUGGCCAAUGGGAUGUGAGUGGAAGUGAUGACAUGCAACUUCUAGGUCAUGUCCUUUGAAAAGGAGGCUGCCUUCUUUCUCCCCAUUCUUUUUCCCCCUGCGACAGUUUAUAACAUUGACACGGUGCUGGUACGGCAGUCCUCAGCAUGAAAAUGAGGAUACCACCUAGGAAUGGUGGUAGAGCAGGACAGGACGAACCGGGGCACCGCCCUGGACUGCCUGCGUAGCUCCAGACUAGCAAGUGGAGGAAAAAUAAACUUCUUUCUCGUUGGAGCACUGUUGUUGAUUAAUUUGGGGAGGGGUUGUCUUUUUGUCACAGCAGCUAAGCCUGUAUCCUACGUACUACUUAUACUAAUACUGAAAAUUUCUAUUGGGAAUAAAAUCCUGGGGGAUGCCAGCACUCGGGAGACACAAGUGGGAAAAAUGGAAACACAAAAGGAAAAGAGAAAAACCAAAGAAGUGAACUAUCAGAGAAUCCGAAGCAAGACAGCAAGGAAACCAGAAGGCAAACAGUGCUGAAUGCAGCAUAAGCAUCCACAUAAACGAAGAUUAUCAAGAGACUCUGAUUUGGCCAGUAUUUCAGCAGAUCAAGGGGGACUUAAAUCAGGCAAAGGAGUUUACACCAGAAUGGAGAUGAAGAAAUGGGCACUCAGGGAGGAGAAACAUCUCGGCCAAAGCCACACAACUAUUCCCGGGUGAAGUCUGGAUUGCGUUGCUCUUCCCUCUGGUGAACUCCUGAGGGCAGGAAGGUGUUGGGUAAGUCUCUAAAACCCCACAGCACCUGGCUGGCACAUCAAAGCCCUCAGAACCUGCAGAGUCUGAAA